rnacentral:misc_RNA from 1 species
GAUGAAGAACGUAGCGAAAUGCGAUAAGUAAUGUGAAUUGCAGAAUUCAGUGAAUCAUCGAAUCUUUGAACGCACAUUGCGCCCUCUGGUAUUCCGGGGGGCAUGCCUGUUCGAGCGUCAUUAUAACCACUCAAGCUCUCGCUUGGUAUUGGAGUUCGCGAUCUCGCGGCUCCUAAAAUCAGUGGCGGUGCCUGUCGGCUCUACGCGUAGUGAUACUCCUCGCGAUUGAGUCCGGUAGGUUUACUUGCCAGCAACCCCCAAUUUUUACAGGUUGACCUCGGAUCAGGUAGGGAUACCCGCUGAACUUAAGCAUAUCAAUAAGCGGAGGA